rnacentral:rRNA from 1 species
UAGGGAAUCUUGGACAAUGGGCGCAAGCCUGAUCCAGCCAUGCCGCGUGAGUGACGAAGGCCUUAGGGUUGUAAAACUCUUUCGCACGUGACGAUAAUGACGGUAACGUGAGAAGAAGCUCCGGCUAACUUCGUGCCAGCAGCCGCGGUAAUACGAAGGGGGCUAGCGUUGUUCGGAUUUACUGGGCGUAAAGCGCGUGUAGGCGGACCUGUAAGUUGGGGGUGAAAGCCCGGAGCUCAACUCCGGAACUGCCUUCAAGACUGCAGGUCUGGACUCAAGGAGAGGCGAGUGGAAUUGCGAGUGUAGAGGUGAAAUUCGUAGAUAUUCGCAGGAACACCAGUGGCGAAGGCGACUCGCUGGACUUGUAGUGACGCUGAGACGCGAAAGCGUGGGGAGCAAACAGGAUUAGAUACCCCGGUAGUCC